rnacentral:rRNA from 1 species
AACGAACGCUGGCGGCAUGCCUAAUACAUGCAAGUCGAACGAGACCUUCGGGUCUAGUGGCGCACGGGUGCGUAACGCGUGGGAAUCUGCCCUUGGGUUCGGAAUAACAGUUAGAAAUGACUGCUAAUACCGGAUGAUGACGUAAGUCCAAAGAUUUAUCGCCCAAGGAUGAGCCCGCGUAGGAUUAGCUAGUUGGUGAGGUAAAGGCUCACCAAGGCUACGAUCCUUAGCUGGUCUGAGAGGAUGAUCAGCCACACUGGGACUGAGACACGGCCCAGACUCCUACGGGAGGCAGCAGUAGGGAAUAUUGGACAAUGGGCGAAAGCCUGAUCCAGCAAUGCCGCGUGAGCGAUGAAGGCCUUAGGGUUGUAAAGCUCUUUUACCCGGGAUGAUAAUGACAGUACCGGGAGAAUAAGCCCCGGCUAACUCCGUGCCAGCCGCCGCAGUAA